CUCCUACGGGACGCAGCAGUGGGGGAUAUUGCACAAUGGGGGGAACCCUGAUGCAGCGACGCCGCGUGGGUGAAGGAGUAUUUCGGUAUGUAAAGCCCUGUCGGCAGGGAAGAAGCAAGACGGUACCUGACUAAGAAGCCCCGGCUAACUACGUGCCAGCAGCCGCGGUAAUACGUAGGGGGCAAGCGUUAUCCGGAUUUACUGGGUGUAAAGGGAGCGUAGACGGCAGUGCAAGUCCGGAGUGAAAGCCCGGGGCUCAACCCUGGGACUGCUCUGGAAACUGUAAAGCU
rnacentral:rRNA from 1 species